CGUAGGGUGAACCUGCGGAGGGAUCAUUACCGAGUUUACAACUCCCAAACCCAAUGUGAACGUUACCAAUCUGUUGCCUCGGCGGGAUUCUCUGCCCCGGGCGCGUCGCAGCCCCGGAUCCCAUGGCGCCCGCCGGAGGACCAACUCAAACUCUUUUUUCUCUCCGUCGCGGCCUACGUCGCGGCUCUGUUUUAUUUUUGCUCUGAGCCUUUCUCGGCGACCCUAGCGGGCGUCUCGAAAAUGAAUCAAAACUUUCAACAACGGAUCUCUUGGUUCUGGCAUCGAUGAAGAACGCAGCGAAAUGCGAUAAGUAAUGUGAAUUGCAGAAUUCAGUGAAUCAUCGAAUCUUUGAACGCACAUUGCGCCCGCCAGUAUUCUGGCGGGCAUGCCUGUCCGAGCGUCAUUUCAACCCUCGAACCCCUCCGGGGGGUCGGCGUUGGGGAUCGGCCCCUCACCGGGCCGCCCCCGAAAUACAGUGGCGGUCUCGCCGCAGCCUCUCCUGCGCAGUAGUUUGCACACUCGCACCGGGAGCGCGGCGCGGCCACAGCCGUAAAACACCCCAAACUCUGAAAUGUUGACCUCGGAUCAGGUAGGAAUUGCCGCUGAACUUAAGCAUAUCAAUAAGCGGAGGAA
rnacentral:rRNA from 1 species